rnacentral:rRNA from 1 species
CCGACGGUGAGGGACGAAAGCUGGGGGCACGAACCGGAUUAGAUACCCGGGUAGUCCCAGCUGUAAACGAUGCUCGCUAGGUGUCAGGUGCGGUGCGACCGCAUCUGGUGCCGCAGUGAAAACUUGAAGCGAGUCACCUGGGAAGUACGGUCGCAAGGCUGAAACUUAAAGGAAUUGGCGGGGGAGCACUACAACGGGUGGAGCCUGCGGUUCAAUUGGAUUCAACGCCGGAAAGCUUACCGGACUC